rnacentral:rRNA from 1 species
AGAACGAACGCUGGCGGUAUGCCUAACACAUGCAAGUCGAACGAGAAAGUGAUCUUCGGAUCGCGAGUAGAGUGGCGCACGGGUGAGUAACACGUGGAUAACCUGCCCUAUGGUCAGGGAUAACACUUCGAAAGGGGUGCUAAUACCUGAUAAGCCUACGACCUCCUCGGAGGAUGUAGGAAAAGAUUUAUUGCCAUAGGAUGGGUCCGCGGUCCAUUAGCUAGUUGGUGGGGUAAUGGCCUACCAAGGCUACGAUGGAUAGCUGGUCUGAGAGGAUGAUCAGCCACACUGGAACUGAGACACGGUCCAGACUCCUACGGGAGGCAGCAGUGGGGAAUUUUGCGCAAUGGACGAAAGUCUGACGCAGCAAUACCGCGUGAAGGAUGAAGGCCCUUGGGUCGUAAACUUCUGUCAGUGGGGAAGAAAUACUCGUAAGAGUGCUGACGGUACCCACAAAGGAAGCACCGGCUAACUCCGUGCCAGCAGCCGCGGUAAUACGGAGGGUGCAAGCGUUGUUCGGAAUUAUUGGGCGUAAAGAGCAUGUAGGCGGACUAUUAAGUCUGGUGUGAAAGCCCUGGGCUCAACCCAGGAAGUGCAUUGGAUACUGAUAGUCUUGAGUAUGGGAGAGGAAAGUGGAAUUCCGAGUGUAGGAGUGAAAUCCGUAGAUAUUCGGAGGAACACCAGUGGCGAAGGCGGCUUUCUGGACCAAUACUGACGCUGAGAUGCGAAAGCGUGGGGAGCGAACAGGAUUAGAUACCCUGGUAGUCCACGCCGUAAACGAUGGGUACUAGGUGUUGCGGGUAACCACUCCUGCAGUGCCGUAGCUAACGCAUUAAGUACCCCGCCUGGGGAGUACGGCCGCAAGGCUA